rnacentral:hammerhead_ribozyme from 1 species
AUUCAGCUGACGAGUCCCAGAUGGGAUGAAACGCUCGUUCUGGAU